CCCGCGGUAGCUCAGCUUGGUAGAGCGGCCGGCUGUAGACCGGCAUGUCGGGAGUUCAAAUCUCCCCCGCGGGACCA
rnacentral:tRNA from 1 species